UACGUAGGUGGCGAGCGUUGUCCGGAUUUACUGGGCGUAAAGCGCGCGCAGGCGGGCUGGUCAGUCCGGGGUGAAAUCUCACGGCUCAACCGUGAGCGGUCCCCGGAUACUGCCAGUCUUGAGGUGUCUAGAGGAGAGCGGAAUUCCCGGUGUAGUGGUGGAAUGCGUAGAUAUCGGGGAGGAACACCAGUGGCGAAGGCGGCGACCUGGGC
rnacentral:rRNA from 1 species